rnacentral:rRNA from 1 species
CGCGUAGGCGGUUGUGUUAGUCGGAUGUGAAAUCCCCGGGCUUAACCUGGGAACUGCAUUCGAUACUGCAUAACUAGAGUAUGGUAGAGGGAAGUGGAAUUCCGGGUGUAGCGGUGAAAUGCGUAGAUAUCCGGAGGAACACCAGUGGCGAAGGCGACUUCCUGGGCCAAUACUGACGCUGAGGUGCGAAAGCGUGGGGAGCAAACA